AAGUUGUUGUGAGGAUCAAAUGAGAUAGCCUAUGUAAACUCCUUUGCAGAUCUUAAAUUAUUACAUAAAUGCUAGUGAUAGUCAUUAUUUGCAUUACAGGUAGUACAUUAGUCAAUACUACUUUUCCCUGGAAGAAAGAACUAGUUUGUGAGAUUUAAUAGCCUCAAGGAGCAGAACCUGAGGGCAUCAGAGAAGACAGAUACUUUUUGUUAGGAUGGGAAAAGUUCAGAGUAUAGACUAUUAUGAAUGGGGUACCUUAGCAGAUAUAGACUGGAGUUGGGGAUGUACAAAAUACUUAGAAGGGUUCAGAAAAUGAAAACAAGGAGAGCCUGAGAAUCAUACUUUGUUUUACAAUUUUUCUUAGGGCCAGCAUUGACAGAGAUUGAUAAUGUUGGGUAAGUUUAGAUAAGAAUUAUCGAACAUAAAAAAAUUGGAUUGCUUUUUUAUCACAAACAGGUCAGAUAUAUAUGCUUCAUGUACGCUACAUCCAGCAGGGAAAAUUGAAUUCUGGAAACACUUGGAGAUUAGAAAUGCAUAGAAACAGAUGCAAGGAAGACUGAUGACUCUUAAAAAAUAUAUACAGGGCCCAUGAUAUACAGCUCAGUGUUUACUGAAUGGUGACAAGAAUCUUAAACUAGCUUCCAUUUGAAAUAUUGGAAGCUUUCGUUCUGAGAAGAAAGUUGAGAUGUGGGACCCACCCUUUACCCCAAUAAAGUAAAAGAAGACAAAGUGGCUAAUGGAUAGAGCAUAAAAGACCAUCAUGAAGAUAGAGACUAAUCAUACACUAGCCUCUAUUUCAGAUGAUGAGAAGAUAUCCACAAAAACCAAAUUUUUAGAGGAAAGGCCCCAGUAUUUUGAGUGGACUGAAUGUGAAAGAUUUACAAAAAGGUUUCUUAGAGGCCCAGAGGAACAUUAAUCCUGGUGAAGUCACUUAACUUCUAUCUGCCUCAGUUUCCUCAAGAGUAAAAUGGAAAUAAUAACAGCAUCUACCUUACAGUCUUUGUAAGAUCAAAUGAGAUAAUAUUUGUAAAGCACAUGACACAUAAUAGAUGAUAAAUAAAUGCAUAUUCCUUUCCCUUCCUUGCGGCA
rnacentral:lncRNA from 1 species